rnacentral:rRNA from 1 species
UACGUAGGGUGCGAGCGUUGUCCGGAAUUAUUGGGCGUAAAGAGCUUGUAGGCGGUUUGUCGCGUCUGCCGUGAAAAUUCGAGGCUCAACCUCGAACUUGCGGUGGGUACGGGCAGACUAGAGUGUGGUAGGGGAGACUGGAAUUCCUGGUGUAGCGGUGAAAUGCGCAGAUAUCAGGAGGAACACCGAUGGCGAAGGCAGGUCUCUGGGCCACUACUGACGCUGAGGAGCGAAAGCGUGGGAAGCGAACAGG